GGGAAAAAUGAGCUGAGCCCCGAGUGCCUGGACGGGGCCCGGGGGUGCCUGAAAGCUGACGGGGUUUCCAUCCCCCAAUCCUACACUUCUUUCCUGGCUCCCGUUUCCUCUUCCAAACUUUACAACGAAGUCCGGGGGUGUCGGGAGCACGACAGGCACCCCGAGGCUCAGUUCGAGACCCCCUACGUUGUGAGGCUCCACAAUUUCCACCAGGUGGCGCCACCCCAGCCCUGCUUCACCUUCCAGCACCCCA